rnacentral:rRNA from 1 species
CCCGCUGAACUUAAGCAUAUCAAUAAGCGGAGGAAAAGAAACUAACAAGGAUUCCCCUAGUAACUGCGAGUGAAGCGGGAAAAGCUCAAAUUUUGAAUCUGGCGGUCUCUGGCCGUCCGAGUUGUAAUCUAGAGAAGCGUUUUCCAGCGCUGGGCCGUGUACAAGUCUCCUGGAAGGGAGCAUCAUAGAGGGUGAGAAUCCCGUCUUUGACACGGAAACCAGUGCACUGUGAUGCGCUCUCGACGAGUCGAGUUGUUUGGGAAUGCAGCUCAAAACGGGUGGUAAAUUCCAUCUAAAGCUAAAUAUAGGCGAGAGACCGAUAGCGAACAAGUACCGUGAGGGAAAGAUGAAAAGAACUUUGGAAAGAGAGUUAAACAGUACGUGAAAUUGCUGAAAGGGAAACGCUUGAUGUCAGUCGCGUCGGCCGGGGGUCAACCUUGCUUUUUUCGCUGGGUGUACUUCCUGGUCGACGGGUCAGCAUCAGUUUCGGUCGCCGUACAAGGGCGGAGGGAACGUGGCACUCUUCGGAGUGUGUUAUAGCCUUUCGUCGCAUGCGGUGGCUCGGGACUGAGGAACUCAGCACGGCUUCUAGUUUGUGCUCAGGAUGCUGGCAUAAUGGCCUUAAGCGACCCGUCUUGAAACACGG